AUUGAAGGUUGACCCUGAAGUGAUGAAAAAUAAACCUCUUGCUUUUCCAUUGAUCUGCAUCUCGGUGUCUCACUCGGGGUUAUCUCGAAGAGGCGGAGUCCGAUGUCAGAAGACAGAAUGAGCCAAGUGAAAUAGUUCAGAGAAUCAUGGGACCCAUCCGUAAUCAACCAAAUUUUUCAGUGAAAUAUGAAGAGCAACGGUCCAGCAAAAGGUUUGCCCCACAAGGUUUCAGAAGAUAUGAACACAGCUUCAAGAGUCUGCUUGGAUUGUGAUAUGAUAGCCACUGAGAAACACAGUGUACAAAACUGGAUACCCUUAGAGUCAAAUGAUUUAUCUAAAUUAAGGUAAGUCAAAAAUCUCAUGUCACACCUAUCCAUUACACAGAGAAAAAGCUCUGUGUCUUCUGGGCUCCAAAGCCAGACUGAGUCUGCCCAAGUUGCCAUGGAGACCUUAGGGAACUGUUGGGUAGUACACUCUGUCAUGUUUUAAAUAACAUAUGACUGCUAGAUUAUAAGCUAUUCCCAGAUUUCUGACUACAUUGACAGCUAAGGUAGCUGUAGCUUAACAACUAGGACACAGACUCUAAACUCAGUUUCUAGCGACUAGUUCAGCCGUAAGCCUUCACAGAUGGAAUUGGUUGUUUCCUUAUCUAAACCUGGAUCCCGUUGAUUAAAUGUUUCAUAUCCCCCCCCUUUUUUUUGUUUUCAGUUUAAACAUUUUUAAACCAGGGUUGAUCACAACAGUCAACAGCACAACAGAGGGGGAGCAUAGCUAUUGCCAACCCGGUCAGCUGAGGCUCUAGGAAGAGCUUUAGCUUUGUGAUACAAGGGACCCCUAGACCCCCAAGGCUGCAGGCUGUCUUCCCUCUCCCCCUGGCCUCCCCCCACCAGCGAGGUGGCAUCUAUGAGGCCCUGCAGAUGGCACUCUCCCUCUUCCAGUCUCUGUGGCUCACAACCAGGCUAAGGGGCAGAGGUAGCUGGGGAGACAAGGGGGUACACGAGGCCCAGGUGGCAGUGAGGGAGCUUGGAACCCUGAGGAGGGCAUGCUGACUCCUUGCUGGAGAAAAGGCACCUAAAUAGGGAAGCUGGACUUGUGGGCCUCCCAGGGAGACACGGGUUAAAGGGAGCAGUAUGGUGAAAACUCCAAUUCUGGUUCCCACUGCCAACAUCCUACAGGGAAAGGUAAGGAAUCCUGGAGCAGAGCCUUAUGCCUGAAACCUGUCUGAGGGAGCCUCAUCCUUUCACACCCUGCUCCCCCAAGCCCAGCUUCCCACUGCCAACAUCCUACAGGGAAAGGUAAGUGAGAGAUAAAAUUUUGAAUUAACUCAAAACACAGUAACAAGAUCUGACUGAGGAAGACAGAUGGCUAAAAUUACAGAAGAACUGAUACUGACACAGUUGUUUUAUCACCAGUGUGAGCAGUCGUUCUGUCUCAGUGAUGUUUGUUUAAGCCCCUUAUACCUUACAGAGAACAUUCCAGGAAACCUGCCGGCCCAAAGCCUAACCAGAUGUGUUUCAGAUGCAGAUGCUUCAUCAACUCCGACCCACAUUUACUCUGACAGGACAAGAGAUAAGAUUUGCUCUCGGAAUAAUGAGGACUCGAAGACCCGACCCUUCUGAUUUAGUAGCUUUGUUCCAGAAAUGGGGGGCCAUAAAACCUUUUGGCUUCCCCUCAUCUCCUGGGGCCAUAAAACCUUUUGGUGCCCCCUUAUCCUCUAGAGUCAUAAAACAGUUAGACAUCUUACAACUCUGUGAUAUCUCUGGCAUUCCUUUCUGAUAUCCCCUUUUUCCCUGAGGCUCGAGGCCUCUCCCCUUUAAAAAGCCCCUCUCCCAACCACUCGGGGUCGACAC
rnacentral:sRNA from 1 species